AUUGAACGCUGGCGGCAGGCCUAACACAUGCAAGUCGAACGGUAACAGGAAGCAGCUUGCUGCUUUGCUGACGAGUGGCGGACGGGUGAGUAAUGUCUGGGAAACUGCCUGAUGGAGGGGGAUAACUACUGGAAACGGUAGCUAAUACCGCAUAACGUCGCAAGACCAAAGAGGGGGACCUUCGGGCCUCUUGCCAUCGGAUGUGCCCAGAUGGGAUUAGCUAGUAGGUGGGGUAACGGCUCACCUAGGCGACGCUCCCUAGCUGGUCUGAGAGGAUGACCAGACACACUGGAACUGAGACACGGUCCAGACUCCUACGGGAGGCAGCAGUGGGGAAUAUUGCACAAUGGGCGCAAGCCUGAUGCAGCCAUGCCGCGUGUAUGAAGAAGGCCUUCGGGUUGUAAAGUACUUUCAGCGGGGAGGAAGGGAGUAAAGUUAAUACCUUUGCUCAUUGACGUUACCCGCAGAAGAAGCACCGGCUAACUCCGUG
rnacentral:rRNA from 1 species